AGAAAAAAAAGUGUGAAUUUACACGGCACUGAAUUGUUGUUUUAAACGUAAACAUGCUCAAUGUAAAUUUGAAAUUCACUUUAAAAAGUUGUAUCGCAUUUAAACAGCCUUAAUGUAAAAUGAGAUUGAAUGUAAUGCAUGUAUGUCAUGUAAACCGGUUUGAUUUUGCUGUCAAAUGGAUAAUUUUAAUUCAUGAAAGUCAUGUAAAUGAUAAUUUCAUGUAAAACUUACUUAACGUAAAUGUUGGAGACACAUAAAUUUAAUUGUUGCUGUUUGUUUCAUUCAAUGACAGUUCAUUAUUGUUGUCGAUUGCGGGUGAAGUUGCGGGAGUGUUUUGUUGACAAAUGUUGAUGUUUUAAGGUAUGUUCAAGUAUUUAGUGAUCACUUACGAUGCUCAAGUACAAUUCUCGAUAUUUUUAAUAAAGGUUUCCUCAAGUUGGUUUCGUAAGGGCCGAAAAGCGAUAAAUUCCAAAGCAAAACAACACUCCGCUGGAAUUGGACGAAAUGUUUAGAAUUCAAAUGUAAACAACGGAAGCACCAGUUCAUUUCUCAGUCCAGUCGAUGUCACCCGGCAUGUUUUUGCCGGAAGCGAAUCUGUCCGGAAGUCUCCUAUUCAGGCAGGUUUACCAAGUAAGUUAAAUUAAAUGAUAACAAAUAUACAGAUACCAUUAACAUAACUUAAUUUGAUUACCAGGUACGAGGAGGACAUUCAAAUUCCCGUUCAGUGAUGAAACCUUUCCUCGUAUAAGUUAAUAAUUUUCAAAAAUUCCGUCUCCAGUGUUAAAAAAUGCUGAUUCACACUAUUUCUUCCGGAAGCCAAUCGUGGACCCGAAUUUCUCAUAUUAUCACCCUGCGAUUAAACGUUACUCCAUCGCCCACAUCUUACCGAAUAAUCUGUUGUUAGAACUCGAUCGUCCCACGGAUACGUGCCCCUCCUCCAGCGAUUGUCCCUGAAUCUGCUGAUCUGUUUUCCGCCACAUACUGAGAUCGUUGAUGGCCAUAAUCUGGAUCAAGCACCGCGCAGUCAACCUGACGAAUGGCAAAUAUCGUCAACCUUGACCUCCUGCAGCCUGAAGGUGCUUCCAGAACUUCUGCUUCCGGCUGGGCAUGUCGCUUUCAUCCGGCGUCGGAAAUGAAUCUUUCUCAAAAGGAACAGUUUCCGAUUUCGGUUCCUCCAAACUUGUUGUCCUGCAUUUGUUUGGUUCGCACACAUUUCCGUAUCGUUUCUCGUUUUGGGACAACCGCUUCGGUAACUAUAAUUUUUUGUUGUUUGAUUUACAGUUUACAGGUGACAGUUAUCUCAACAGAAACCAUUCGUGACGAACACUUCAAAAAGCCGUAAGCGUAACGUAAAAAACAGUCUGUCUCACUCUCACACACUCAUUCAAAUGGUCGAGACAUUCGGUGCGAACGAGAUAAACAAUGUACAACACUGAGCAGUGCCUAUUUGGAAUGUUUGUCGCGCAUUUUCAGGAUGACAAUAGCGCAAGGUGUGAACUUAUAAAGGUAUAUGUAGUAAGCUGUCGGAGUUGCAAACCAUUUUGGAUUAGGGUGAUCUAAAUAAAUAUUUUAAGAUCUUUCAAAAAUCGUGCAAAGUGGUUUUGGCAACAACCAUUUAUUAAAUUUAUUGAAAAUCGAUUUUUAAUGUUUGUCAUUACAGUAAAUAUUCAUAAAACUUUUUUUUAAAUUGGGUCCUAAAAUGAAGUUUAAAUUUGUGAUAUUAUUGCUCAUAACGAUAAAGCUUAUUUUUCUGAGUACAAUGACCCUUUGUACGACCACAAAGAGUUUAAAAUGGAUUUUUAAAUCAAUUUUGAAAAAUUAACCUCACGGUCCUUCUUGACAGAAAAGCUCCUAUUUGACAGCUCGUUCCAAGGGGACCAUAGUUGAUCCAUCGAAAUAAUGUUGUCUUGUCAAAAAAAAAAUUUUGCUUUAAAAUGAAAAAAAGUAAUCAGAAAUGGUUUUUAAUCGUGUUUUUUACCGUUGUACAUAAAAAUUGACAUAGGGCUUUAGUACCCAAUUACUUAUUAGAUUCAUGUUUAUUACAAGCCUGUGGUUUUUUCAAUGACUUUUUUUGAUUGAGUUAUUCAAUGUUAUGCGUUAGCGAUUGUCCAUACAAAUUCUUGUAUGGCCAAUUUUCCACGACGGGGAGGGGGGUUUAGAAUUUCAAAAUAGCGAAUAUAAGACCAUUGUUUUUGUAUUGAAAAUUUACUGGAGUAUUUUUAAAUGUCCAAAUAAUCAAUUUUUAUUUUUUGGUUUUUGGAUGUUUUGUAGCUUGGAUCCAAAAAACUAAAUUUUUAUAUACCGGAUUUUGAGUGUUCUUGAAUAUCCCUAACACAAGACAGUUUCAAAAACACCCAAAAUAUAAAAAAUAUAUAAUUUUAUUUAUUUGACCAUUUAAAACCAAAAAAUACUCCAGUUUUGCAGUGUCAUAUAAAAAAUGUCAAUAGGGUUUUAAAAUUCCUAUGUUAUGUUUUAUGUAUAGCGAUAAUAGACACGCCUGAAAACAAUUUGUGAUCACUUUAUUAUGUAAAUACAAGAAAUUAAAUUUCACAAGAUGCCAUUUAACGCUGGAUCAACCAUGAAAUGAGUCAUUGUGCUCAGAAAAAUAAGCUUUAUCAAAAUGAAAACAAGAAAAUUCGCAACUUUAAAAAUCGUGUUUCAAAAAGUUAAAAAAAACUCAAGAUAGGGGAACAGCAUCUAACUCAAUCAUGCCUAUAAUGUUGACAAAUUAGCACUUUGAUGUUUAAUUGCAACUAAUAAAAAGCGAUUUCAACUUAAACCGAUUGAUAAAUAGCUCAAUCGAGAAAUUAAAAGUGAGAGUGUGUGCAACAUGGAGUUAAACUUUCUGUGAAGCUGCCGUGAAGAUUACCAUGGCACUUUGAAAAGUUUAACUCCAUGUUGCACGCACACACUCUCACUUUUAAUUUCUCGAUAGGAUGUGAGCAAGUAAAUUUCUAUCAACAGUUUUACAAAAUUAGUUGUAUAAAUAGUGAAAAUCAGCAAAUUGGAUGGAGUUAGGAACGAGAGUUUAACUUGCCAAACAUACGGGAAUUUCCCCUUUAUGAUAAAAUCAGUAAUUGAAACUCGAAUUGAAACUUAAUUUUAGGACCCAAUUACAAAAUAAUUACUACCAACAAAAGUCUGCAAAGGAAUGUUGUCUGCAUCUGACUCCGACAAGAACUCCGACAUUUCAUCACCUGCUUGCCCAACCUGUUUUCCAAAUCAUUGAAACAAAAUGACAGUUUUGACUUCUCUUGCAAACCCUUAAAUGUAAACAUCAAAGGACCAAGCGAGUUGUUUUUGUUUCAUGGAAAAGUAAGUAUUUGAAUUUUGUUAUUAAAUAGUUUAUUUUCUAUGAAAAUACAUUUUGAAAUCAUUUUUACUUUACAGAGUAUGUUCAACUCAAUCAGCUGGUCAAGGACAACAUCCGUAAGUUCGUUACUGCUUCAAGUUUGGUCUUCUUUCUAACAAAACGCAAAAGCAGAUCGACCAGGAAGAGUUUUAUUUUUUUAAAUCCGCGAUGCCAAGAUCGUAUUUGUUUGAACUAAAUUUACGAUAUGAAGGUCAAGGAAAAUUGUGGCAAGAAAUCACUCAUGUCAGUUGCUGGGAAUCACCGCGCUGCUGGAAACCGACCCAGGAUCUGCUGCACAGCCGGUGCUCCUUUCUACGAAUGAGUUCUUUAUGAAAAUUUUCCCUUGGGACCAAAUGUUAACCGAUGACAGCCGAAAUGGAUCAAGUACAACAUAGGUCAAGUAAGUUUAGCAACAUAGUUUUUAAACAGAAACUAGUCAAACUCGACCGCUGAGAGUAAGUUUUACUAGCUCGGUCAGUCAUAAUCCGAAGAUAUACAAAUGUUUACCCCCAGGAAUGGGUUUUCAAUCCAGAGGUCAUGAAAUCGAUUUCGGGUUUAUGUUUAUUCAAUUUCCAAACGCUCAGUGAGUCAGUUUCUUUCAACUAUCUUCAUUUCAUUCAUUCAUUUAGUAUAACUCCGUUGAAUUUAGAAUCUGAUACAAAUUUUCAAACACUUUAAGUGCCCUGCAGUCUUUGAAUCUUUCUUUCCAAACAAAAGCAUUUUUUAUCCGUAACUUGGUUUUUUAAAACGGCCAAUGUGCCACAUGUACAAAUUCAGUACAUCCCGCUCACUUUAAUUUGUGUUUAGAAGGUGUGAGCAAGAUGAAGUUUACAUGUGGCGCAUUGAACUUUUUUUAAACAAUAAAACCAAUCGGUGCUUUGAUUAGAAAGAAAAUAAUAGAUUACUGCACACGGGUACACAAGCAUUUGAAAAUUACAUCGGAUUCUAGAUUCAACGGGGGAA